AGGGUUUGAUCCUGGCUCAGAGCAAACGCUGGCGGCAUGGCUAAAGCAUGCAAGUCGAGCGAGUUAGUACAUGAGGGUAACCAAUUGUACUGCUAGCGGCGAAAGGGUGAGUAUCGCGUGGGUAACGUACCCUUAUCACGAGGAUAGCUGGCCGAAAGGCCAGGAAAUACUCGAUAACGUCAUUUCGUGACAUCUCGAAAUGACCAAAAGGUGGCCUCUACACGUAAGCUACCGGAUUUGGAGCGGCCCGCGUCCUAUCAGCUUGUUGGUGAGGUAAUGGCUCACCAAGGCUUAGACGGGUAGCUGGUCUGAGAGGAUGAUCAGCCACAUCGGGACUGAGACACUGCCCGGACCUCCACGGAGGGCUGCAGCAACGAAUCUUCCGCAAUGCGCGAAAGCGUGACGGAGCAAUGCCGCGUGCGGGACGAAGCCCUUCGGGGUGUAAACCGCCGUCAGGAGUAACCAAGCAAUGAAGGCGAAUAGCCUUCGGCGCUGAGGUAUCCCAGAGGAAGCCACGGCUAACUCUGUGCCAGCAGCCGCGGUAAGACAGAGGUGGCAAGCGUUGCUCGGAUUUACUGGGCUUAAAGGGUGCGUAGGCGGCUCAUCAAGCAUACUGUGAAAGCCCUCGGCUCAACCGAGGAAUUGCAGUGUGAACUGACGGGCUUGAGGCGUGUAGGGGUCAGUGGAACUCUGGGUGGAGCGGUGAAAUGCGUAGAUAUCCAGGGGAACGCCAGUGGCGAAGGCGACUGACUAGGCACGUCCUGACGCUGAGGCACGAAAGCGUGGGGAGCGAACGGGAUUAGAUACCCCGGUAGUCCACGCCCUAAACGAUGUGCACUAGCUUCGGGUACUCUGACAGUUUCCGGGGCGUAGGGAAACCGUUAAGUGCACCGCCUGGGGAGUACGGCCGCAAGGCUAAAACUCAAAGGAAUUGACGGGGGCUCACACAAGCGGUGGAGCAUGUGGCUUAAUUCGAAACAACGCGAAGAACCUUACCUGGGUUUGACAUGUACGGAUAGCGCCUUGGAAACAGGGUUUGCUUGCCUUCGGGUGAAACGUACACAGGUGCUGCAUGGCUGUCGUCAGCUCGAGCCGUGAGGUGUUGGGUUAAGUCCCGUAACGAGCGAAACCCCUGUCGUUAGUUGCCAGCGGUUCGGCCGGGAACUCUAACGAGACUGCCGGCGUUAAGCCGGAGGAAGGCGGGGACGACGUCAAGUCAUCAUGGCCUUUAUGCCCAGGGAUGCACACGUGCUACAAUGCCUACUACAAUGCGACGCAAAACCGCGAGGUCGAGCAAAUCGCAUAAAGGUGGGCUCAGUUCAGAUUGCAGUCUGCAAUUCGACUGCAUGAAGGCGGAAUCGCUAGUAAUCGCGUAUCAGCUACGACGCGGUGAAUAUGUUCCUGAGCCUUGUACACACCGCCCGUCAAGCCAUGGAAGCCGGGACCACCCGAAGUCCGUUUAGCUAACCAUUUAUGGAGGCGACGGCCGACGGUGAGCUCAGUGACUGGGGCUAAGUCGUAACAAGGUA
rnacentral:rRNA from 1 species